rnacentral:rRNA from 1 species
ACAUGAAGCUGGAAUCGCUAGUAAUCGCGGAUCAGAAUGCCGCGGUGAAUACGUUCCCGGGUCUUGUACACACCGCCCGUCACACCAUGGGAGUCGGAAAUGCCCGAAGUCUGUGACCCAACCUUAGGGAGGGAGCAGCCGAAGGCAGGUCGGAUGACUGGGGGUGAAGUCGUAACAAGGUAAC